AAUAAGCUCCACUGGGCUCUCCUCUCCUCUCCGAACUCGAUCCUCUCGGAAACCCUACUCCGACACGACUGUGGAACUCACCCCCCGCCGUUCCCUCUCCGCCGGCGCGAGCUUGUCGGCGACUCGGCGGUGAUGUCGACCCGGAUGGCUCGAUGGCUUCACCGUACAAGUAUGACGCCGAUGCUGAUGCACUCUCCGAAGCUAGUAUAGCGCCGCCAUCACCUUGGCAGCUUGGCCGUGGUCUGGGAUGCCGCCACGAUGCCACCGCCCACCGCAGCCCGGCCUACAGCAACCUGCAGCACCCGCUUCGGUAAUCAGGUAACUGUACAAAGGUUUGGUAUGCCAGACCCAAAGGUUGAAGUAGCCCUUCGUUUUUCGAACUUGUGAUCCAAAGUUGACGAGGCCAUCAUGAUAAAGGCAAAACUACAACCUUUAGUGCUUGAAGUUUCAGCGAUCUAUUCCUCCUUUCAUCUGGGCACUCAUCGUUAUCAUCAUAUGGAGUUUCCACAUGGACCACAAGCUGCUCAAUGUGGCUCAACUGUUUGCAUCGUACCAGAAGACCCUACGCUGACGCCACAAGCACCAGAUCUGUCAUGACGUCCAAGUGUUAUCUCUGGCGUUCCCUUUGUUCUCAGGCCCUGUAACUUUGCACAGUAUCCAUCAUAUUAAAUAGGGUAAAGUCCAUAUUUGGACCCUA